UACGUAGGGCGCAAGCGUUGUCCGGAAUUAUUGGGCGUAAAGAGCUCGUAGGCGGCUUGUCACGUCGGGUGUGAAAUCCCCGGGCUCAACCCGGGAACUGCGUCCGAUACUGGAAGGCUUGAAUCCGGGAGAGGGAUGUGGAAUUCCAGGUGUAGCGGUGAAAUGCGUAGAUAUCUGGAGGAACACCGGUGGCGAAGGCGACAUCCUGGACCGGUAUUGACGCUGAGGCGCGAAAGCCAGGGGAGCAAACGGG
rnacentral:rRNA from 1 species